rnacentral:misc_RNA from 1 species
GAAAUGCGAUAAUUAAUGUGAAUUGCAGAAUUCAGUGAAUCAUCGAGUCUUUGAACGCACAUUGCGCCCCCUGGUAUUCCGGGGGGCAUGCCUGUCCGAGCGUCAUUGCUGCCCUCAAGCACGGCUUGUGUGUUGGGCUUCCGUCCCUGGCAACGGGGACGGGCCCAAAAGGCAGUGGCGGCACCAUGUCUGGUCCUCGAGCGUAUGGGGCUUUGUCACCCGCUCCCGUAGGUCCAGCUGGCAGCUAGCCUCGCAACCAAUCUUUUUAACCAGGUUGACCUCGGAUCAGGUAGGGAUACCCGCUGAACACAAGC